rnacentral:lncRNA from 1 species
AAGUAUGUUUGUAUUGUAAGAUCUUGGCGACCAACUUUAUAUAUACUCUACCUCUGAUGGCUUUAGAUGUGCGAGAAAAGAAGAGUUGUAGAAAAAGAAAACUGAAAAGUUUUAACUCUCGUUAGGUGAACGAUAAAAGUCUAACUCUUUUUGGUUUAUUACUUUUUGACCGAUAAAUCUGGUGUGCCAAAUAUAAAUUUGUUUGAAUUGAAUGAAAAAUCAAUUAAUUAAAAAUACGAUAUCCUGGUAAAAAACUCUAAAAUCCGUCAUGAACCCGUGAUCCGACACCAGAUGACCCAGUAAAAAACCCAUAGAAAUCUAAUAAUAUUUUUAAAAACUUUGGAUGAAAAUUUUCAUAUAUAUUAAUAUUAUUCAAAAAUUUAAUAUUACUUUUUGAUGAAACUUUUCGUAUACUAUAUGC